rnacentral:rRNA from 1 species
CCUACGGGAGGCAGCAGUCGAGAAUCAUUCACAAUGGGGGAAACCCUGAUGGUGCGACGCCGCGUGGGGGAAUGAAGGUCUUCGGAUUGUAAACCCCUGUCAUGUGGGAGCAAAUUAAAAAGAUAGUACCACAAGAGGAAGAGACGGCUAACUCUGUGCCAGCAGACGCGGUAAUACAGAGGUCUCAAGCGUUGUUCGGAAUCACUGGGCGUAAAGUGUGCGUAGGCUGUUUCGUAAGUCGUGUGUGAAAGGCGCGGGCUCAACCCGCGGACGGCACAUGAUACUGCGAGACUAGAGUAAUGGAGGGGGAACCGGAAUUCUCGGUGUAGCAGUGAAAUGCGUAGAUAGCGAGAGGAACACUCGUGGCGAAGGCGGGUUCCUGGACAUUAACUGACGCUGAGGCACGAAGGCCAGGGGAGCGAAAGGGAUUAGAUACCCCAGUAGUC